UACAGAGGGUGCAAGCGUUAAUCGGAAUUACUGGGCGUAAAGGGCGCGUAGGUGGUUUAUUAAGUCAGAUGUGAAAUACCUGGGCUUAACCUGGGAAUUGCAUUUGAAACUGAUUGGCUAGAGUAUGGGAGAGGGAAGUGGAAUUUCCGGUGUAGCGGUGAAAUGCGUAGAUAUCGGAAGGAACACCAGUGGCGAAGGCGACUUCCUGGACCAUUACUGACACUGAGGCGCGAAAGCGUGGGGAGCGAACAGG
rnacentral:rRNA from 1 species